rnacentral:rRNA from 1 species
AUUGAACGCUGGCGGCAUGCCUUACACAUGCAAGUCGAACGGCAGCACGGGUGCUUGCACCUGGUGGCGAGUGGCGAACGGGUGAGUAAUACAUCGGAACAUGUCCUGUAGUGGGGGAUAGCCCGGCGAAAGCCGGAUUAAUACCGCAUACGAUCUACUGAUGAAAGCGGGGGACCUUCGGGCCUCGCGCUAUAGGGUUGGCCGGUGGCGGAUUCGCUAGUUGGUGAGGUAAAGGCCUACCAAGGCAACGAUGAGUAGCGGAUCUGAGAGGGCGACCGGCCAGAGUGGAACGGAGACAGGGUCAAGACUCCUACGGGAGGCAGCAGUAGGGAAGCUGCAGAGAUGGGCGAAAGCCUGACGGAGCAAGGCCGCGGGAGGGAUGAAGGUCGUCGGAUCGUAAAACACUGGUAUGAGGGAAGAACAAAUGGGGAAGGAACUAUGCACGGCUUGACGGUACCUAAUUAGAAAGACACGGCUAACUACGUG